rnacentral:lncRNA from 13 species
UUUCAUUUAAGAAACUGUGAAUAGACAGCUCAAUAGCUGUCUCUACAUCUUUUAGAAAAAUAAAAAGUAUUAAUUUACUGAUAGGUAUUCAGAGCGGGUGAAAUGAGAGACAUCCAUAUACAUUUAGUAGCACAGCAAAACUAAUAACUCUAUUUCUUGAGUUCCUCCACUUGCUGGAACUAAUAGCUAUGAAUCCAAAGUGCCUUCAUUUCUCUCAAAUUUGCAGCCUAGCUUAGACAGGGGCCUUGGUAAAUAUUGGAUCUGGUAAUAGUGUAAAACCAAAAUGGGGCCAAUUCACCCACCACAGUAGAACUCAUAUAACCACACAGAGGUUUUUGCAGUGACAAAGGUGUUUAUUGCAGGGCUCCAAGCAAGAAGAUUCAAGGAAGCUCAUGCUUAAGACCCCACCUCCCCUAUGGCCUGCAGAUAAGAGUUUUUAAAGACAGGAGUAAAUUUCAGGAAAGCAGAAGCUACAGGCAAAAUCAUAAAUCAGUAUAUGGAGGUCAAACAUUGGUUUUGGCCUAAAAGAGUGGGAUAUCUUGAAGCAGGAACUUACAGGUGCCAGCAGAUCCAUUCAGUGAGUCUGAGCCCAUGAAAGACAACUCAGGGACCUAUGGAGAUCUAGAAGGAGCAGGCUCACACUCUGACAUGGCCAACAAUUCGUUAAAAUUUGGACUCUUCAGUUUACAUCUGACUCAUUUAUGUCACCUGCCUGGCCCUUCAACAGAAAAAUAAGAGAGCCUUGCUCUGGAUGAUAAGCUUCUACCAACAGAGCCUCUGACUUAUGUGCUACACUUAGCACAAUAGUUGAUGAACAGUAAGUGCUCAGAGGUUUCUUACCUAUUGAAGUCUGACUCUUGAACUUGAGCUGGGUUUUGCUCGUUUUAGCCUAAUAUAUCAGAUCACAAAAAUCAUUCUCACUAAAAACAAGUCAAGCCAAAAAAAAUGAGGUAAAGUAGGAUUUCUCUUUGAUGUUUAUUAAUACUACACUAGAAGUCUCAGUAACAGGCCUAUAUUUUCUUUUGUUAUUUUUACUAUAAACGUGAGUUUCAAAAUGCUUAAAAAACUAAUCUUAAAACUAAUGUUAAUGAGUUUCUUUCAAAUAGAUUUGGGAAAAAAUUGCAUUGAAAACACUUAAAUGGAUUUUUGGCACAGGGCUUAUCAGUCUUAAAUAUACUUUUAUUUGACGGGAACAUCAAAGGGGAAAUAUAAUACAGUAUAUAGCAUUUUGCAAAUAUAUUCACUCAGCAAAUAUUAUUGCAUGCUGACUGUAUGCCAGAUACUACUUAGGCAUUGAGAACAUAGCAGUGAACAAUACAGACAAAAGUCUUUUUUUUUUGAGACAGAGUCUCACUCUGUUGCCCAGGCUAGAGUGCAGUGGUGCGAUCUCAGCUCACUGCAACCCCCGUCUCCUGGGUUCAAGUGAUUCUCCUGCCUCAGCCUCCCAGGUAGCUGGGACUACAGGUGCACACUGCUGCACCUGGGUAAUUUUUGCAUUUUUAGUAGAGACAGGUUUUUACCAUGUUGGCUAAACUGGUCUCGCACUCCUGACCUUAGGUGAUCCACCCACCUCAGCCUCCCAAAGUGGUGCGAUUACAGGCAUGAGCCACCAUGGCCAGUAACAAAAGUCUGUUGACCUUGUGGAGCAAAUGACCUAGUUGGCCAUGAGUCCCUUCAUCUCAUCCCUAGACCAUAGUUUGUAAUACACUGCUCUGGGUAUAAUUAGAUGUAUUUGUUGCCACCUUAGCCACCUUAUUUUCCUCCUUACAUAUAUUAUUUUGUGUGUGUGUGUGUGUGUGUGUGUGUGUUUUUUUUUUGAGACAGAAUGUCACUCUGUCACCCAGGCUGGAGUGCAGUGGCAUGAUCACUGAUCACUGUAGCUUUGACCUCCAGGCUCAGGUGAUCCUCCCACCUCAGGCUCCCUAGUAGCUGGGACUAUACCUUUCCCCCACCAUGCACAGCUAAUUUUUGUACUUUUUGUAGAGAUGGGGUUUCACCAUGUUGCCCAAGCUGGUCCCAAACUCCUGGGCUCAAGUGAUCCACCCACCUUGGCCUCCCAAAGUGCUAAGAUUACAGGCGUGAGAAGUUAAUGUUCUUUAAGUGAUUUAUAUAAGUCCUUAAAAUAUCUGAGUUCAUCAUUCUUAAAAUUUUGUUUAAAACAUUCGAUGUAAAUGGCCUAAAAGAAGAGCCUAUGUGAAUGCUAUUUAGCGGAUGCCUUUAACUUUAGUAUCUUUUAGCAGAGAUUUUUAAAAACAUUUUUCACAGUCAGAGGAAAAUAAAGUGAACUCUGCAAAAUAUGUAUCA